rnacentral:rRNA from 1 species
GGAAAUCAAGUCGAGAGUGAAAUCCAACGGCUCAACCGUUGAACUGCUCUCGAAACUGGUUACCUAGAAUAUGGGAGAGGUAGAUGGAAUUGGUGGUGUAGGGGUAAAAUCCGUAGAUAUCACCAGGAAUACCGAUUGCGAAGGCGAUCUACUGGAACAUUAUUGACGCUGAGGCAUGAAAGCGUGGGGAGCAAACAGGAUUAGAUACCCUGGUAGUCCACGCCCUAAACGAUGCACACUAGUUGUUGCGAUGCUAGUCAUUGCAGUAAUGCACUUAACAGAUUAAGUGUGCCGCCUGGGGAGUACGGUCGCAAGAUUAAAACUCAAAGGAAUAGACGGGGACCCGCACAAGCGGUGGAGCAUGUGGUUUAAUUCGAAGAUACACGAAGAACCUUACCUGGGCUUGAUAUCCUAAGAAUCCUGUAGAGAUAUGGGAGUGCUAGUUUACUAGAACUUAGAGACAGGUGCUGCACGGCUGUCGUCAGCUCGUGUCGUGAGAUGUUGGGUUAAGUCCCGCAACGAGCGCAACCCUCGUGAUUAGUUGCUAACAGUUCGGCUGAGCACUCUAAUCAGACUGCCUUCGCAAGGAGGAGGAAGGUGAGGACGACGUCAAGUCAUCAUGGCCCUUAUGCCCAGGGCUACACACGUGCUACAAUGGCUAGGACAAAGAGAAGCGAUACUGCGAAGUGGAGCAAAUCUUAAAACCUAGUCUCAGUUCGGAUUGGAGUCUGCAACUCGACUCCAUGAAGCUGGAAUCGCUAGUAAUCGUAGAUCAG